rnacentral:rRNA from 1 species
CCCUGCCUUUUGUACACACCGCCCGUCGCUACUACCGAUUGAAUGAUUUAGUGAGGUCUUCGGACUGGAGCCCGGUGAGACUUCCUCCGCGUUGUCACGCCGGCUCGCUCUGGGAAGAUGACCGAACU